rnacentral:rRNA from 1 species
UGCGUAGGCGGGUCUUUAAGUCAGGGGUGAAAUCCUGGAGCUCAACUCCAGAACUGCCUUUGAUACUGAGGAUCUUGAGUACGGGAGAGGUGAGUGGAACUGCGAGUGUAGAGGUGAAAUUCGUAGAUAUUCGCAAGAACACCAGUGGCGAAGGCGGCUCACUGGCCCGUAACCUGACGCUGAGGCACGAAAGCGUGGGGAGCAAACA